rnacentral:rRNA from 1 species
CUGAGUACGGCGGAACACGUGAAAUUCCGUCGGAAUCCGGGAGGACCAUCUCCCAAGGCUAAAUACUCCCUAGUGACCGAUAGUGAACCAGUACCGUGAGGGAAAGGUGAAAAGCACCCCGGAAGGGGAGUGAAACAGUUCCUGAAACCGUGUGCCUACAAGUAGUUAGAGCCCGUUAAUGGGUGAUAGCGUGCCUUUUGUAGAAUGAACCGGCGAGUUACGAUUUGUUGCAAGGUUAAGCGGAAAAAGCGGAGCCGUAGCGAAAGCGAGUCUGAAUAGGGCGCAUAAGUAACAGGUCGUAGACCCGAAACCAGGUGAUCUACCCAUGUCCAGGAUGAAGGUAAGGUAAUACUUACUGGAGGUCCGAACCCACGCACGUUGAAAAGUGCGGGGAUGAGGUGUGGGUAGCGGAGAAAUUCCAAUCGAACUUGGAGAUAGCUGGUUCUCUCCGAAAUAGCUUUAGGGCUAGCCUCGAGGUAAAGAGUCAUGGAGGUAGAGCACUGUUUGGACUAGGGGCCCUUCUCGGGUUACCGAAUUCAGAUAAACUCCGAAUGCCAUGUACUUAUACUCGGGAGUCAGACUGCGAGUGAUAAGAUCCGUAGUCGAAAGGGAAACAGCCCAGACCACCAGUUAAGGUCCCCAAAUAUAUGUUAAGUGGAAAAGGAUGUGGGGUUGCUUAGACAACCAGGAUGUUGGCUUAGAAGCAGCCACCAUUGAAAGAGUGCGUAAUAGCUCACUGGUCGAGUGACCCCGCGCCGAAAAUGUACCGGGGCUAAACAUAUUACCGAAACUGUGGAUGAACCUCUUUAGAGGUUCGUGGUAGGAGAGCGUUCUAAGGGCGGUGAAGUCAGACCGGAAGGACUGGUGGAGCGCUUAGAAGUGAGAAUGCCGGUAUGAGUAGCGAAAGAAGGGUGAGAAUCCCUUCCACCGAAUAUCUAAGGUUUCCUGAGGAAGGCUCGUCCGCUCAGGGUUAGUCGGGACCUAAGCCGAGGCCGAUAGGCGUAGGCGAUGGACAACAGGUAGAGAUUCCUGUACCAGUGCUAAUUGUUUAACCGAUGGGGUGACACAGAAGGAUAGGGAAUCGCACGAAUGGAAAUGUGCGUCCAAGCAGUGAGUGUGAGAAGUAGGCAAAUCCGCUUCUCGCGAAGCAUGAGCUGUGAUGGGGAAGGAAAUUAAGUACGGAAGUUCCUGAUUUCACGCUGUCAAGAAAAGCCUCUAGGAAGAGUAGUACUGCCCGUACCGCAAACCGACACAGGUAGAUGAGGAGAGAAUCCUAAGGUGAGCGAGAGAACUCUCGUUAAGGAACUCGGCAAAAUGACCCCGUAACUUCGGGAGAAGGGGUGCUCUAUUAGGGUGCAAGCCCGAGAGAGCCGCAGUGAAUAGGCCCAGGCGACUGUUUAGCAAAAACACAGGU